UACGUAGGGUGCGAGCGUUAAUCGGAAUUACUGGGCGUAAAGCGUGCGCAGGCGGCGCGUUAAGACAGAUGUGAAAGCCCCGGGCUUAACCUGGGAAUGGCAUUUGGGACUGCAAGGCUUGAGUGCGGCAGAGGAGACUGGAAUUCCUGGUGUAGCAGUGAAAUGCGUAGAUAUCAGGAGGAAUACCGAUGGCGAAGGCAGGUCUCUGGGCUGACACUGACGCUCAUGCACGAAAGCAUGGGGAGCGAACAGG
rnacentral:rRNA from 1 species